GAUGAAGAACGUAGCGAAAUGCGAUAAGUAAUGCGAAUUGCAGAAUUCAGUGAGUCAUCGAAUCUUUGAACGCACAUUGCGCCCUGUGGUAUUCCGCAGGGCAUGCCUGUUCGAGCGACAUUUCAACCCUCAAGCUCUGCUUGGUGUUGGGCCCUGCCCGCUGCGGCCGGCCCUAAAGACAGUGGCGGUGCCGCCUGGCCCUGAGCGUAGUACAUCUCUCGCUCCAGUGCCCGGUGGUAGCCUGCCAGAACCCCAACUCUCGUGGUUGACCUCGGAUCAGGUAGGGAUACCCGCUGAACUUAAGCAUAUCAAUAAGCGGAGGA
rnacentral:misc_RNA from 1 species